GGUAAGCAUCAAGCCGAGAAUGCGAAAAAGUCCCGGAUGUGUUCUCGCGCCGCCCGUUUUAUCGAGCAUGCAUCGGUGGUGACUUGUGUGGACUUGGUACAGCUAAAUAUCCCAGAAUGCAUUUCGUCCAAAACUCAAACGCGGCAAUGGCGGACGAGCAGGGCUAAGGGAAGCCCAAGAAGCAAAUAUCUGUGACAACCAUGAUGGGACCUACCUGGUGUUUUAACACCAGCUGCUCAGUCCAUCCAGGCUCCCCUCCAUAUGCAACAGUGAUGCCAGCAACUCAAAUACAAGCUCUCUCCAAGUGAUUCCUUCAUCAUCAACAUCUGCAUCCACGAUCCAUUAGCUCAACAGCAACAUCUGUCAGCUGUGCAUCCAACUCGAGGGCAUCGCCUGCUGUGCUCAGGCGCUGGGCUGCAAUUUCCGUCCCUUGUUGACGACCUCGCUGUAUGCUGUGCUGGAGAAAGCUGGUGAGGAGACGCUGCUGGUCAGCCAGGUGACGCUGAGCUCCAUGUAGGACAUCAGCAAGGCCUGUGGAUACACUUCCCUCAAGGAACUGAUCAAUGAGAACUCUGACUACCUGCUUACUGACAUAUCACUCAACCUUCAGAGACUCAGCCAGCAUCCACAGGGCUCCACGGGUGUUGACAGUUAUGUUGACUCACUCUGACUGCAGCCCGUGGUCGGGGACAUGGUUCAGGAUCUGGAUCUCAGCUACGAGCGCACAGCUGCUCUUUUCUGCUCCAUGCUGCACGCGCUCAUGAAGG